rnacentral:rRNA from 1 species
GAUGAACGCUGGCGGCGUGCUUAACACAUGCAAGUCGAACGGUGAAGCAGGAGCUUGCUCCUGUGGAUCAGUGGCGAACGGGUGAGUAACACGUGAGCAAUCUGCCCUGGACUCUGGGAUAAGCGUUGGAAACGACGUCUAAUACCGGAUACGAGGCGUGGGGGCAUCCCCAACGCCUGGAAAGAACUUCGGUCCAGGAUGAGCUCGCGGCCUAUCAGGGAGUUGGUGAGGUAACGGCUCACCAAGCCUACGACGGGUAGCCGGCCUGAGAGGGUGACCGGCCACACUGGGACUGAGACACGGCCCAGACUCCUACGGGAGGCAGCAGUGGGGAAUAUUGAACAAUGGGCGCAAGCCUGAUGCAGCAACGCCGCGUGAGGGACGACGGCCUUCGGGUUGUAAACCUCUUUUAGCAGGGAAGAAGCGAAAGUGACGGUACCUGCAGAAAAAGCACCGGCUAACUACGUGCCAGCAGCCGCCGUAAAAC